rnacentral:tRNA from 1 species
GAAACUUAGGUUAACUAAAACCAAAGACCUUCAAAGUCCAAAAUAAGAGAUAGAUCUCCUAGUUUCUG